GUCGAGCGGAACGACACUAACAAUCCUUCGGGUGCGUUAAUGGGCGUCGAGCGGCGGACGGGUGAGUAAUGCCUAGGAAAUUGCCUUGAUGUGGGGGAUAACCAUUGGAAACGAUGGCUAAUACCGCAUAAUGCCUACGGGCCAAAGAGGGGGACCUUCGGGCCUCUCGCGUCAAGAUAUGCCUAGGUGGGAUUAGCUAGUUGGUGAGGUAAUGGCUCACCAAGGCGACGAUCCCUAGCUGGUCUGAGAGGAUGAUCAGCCACACUGGAACUGAGACACGGUCCAGACUCCUACGGGAGGCAGCAGUGGGGAAUAUUGCACAAUGGGCGAAAGCCUGAUGCAGCCAUGCCGCGUGUAUGAAGAAGGCCUUCGGGUUGUAAAGUACUUUCAGUUGUGAGGAAGGGGGUAACGUUAAUAGCGUUAUCUCUUGACGUUAGCAACAGAAGAAGCACCGGCUAACUCCGUGCCAGCAGCCGCGGUAAUACGGAGGGUGCGAGCGUUAAUCGGAAUUACUGGGCGUAAAGCGCAUGCAGGUGGUUCAUUAAGUCAGAUGUGAAAGCCCGGGGCUCAACCUCGGAACUGCAUUUGAAACUGGUGAACUAGAGUGCUGUAGAGGGGGGUAGAAUUUC
rnacentral:rRNA from 1 species